CAAAACUCGUAACGGUGGAUGUCUUGGCUCCCACAUCGAUGAAGANCGCAGCAAAAUGCGAAACGUAAUGCGAAUKGCAGAAUCCGUGAWUCAUCAAAUCUUUGAACGCAAGUUGCGCUCGCGGGUAWUCCUGCGAGCAUGUCUGUUUGAGUGUCC
rnacentral:rRNA from 1 species